ensembl:lncRNA
GUAGAACAUGGAGAGCUGGAAUCUUGUUUCUAUUUUAGAGAACAUUUGUAGCAUAUAAUGUGAGGUCUUCUCUGUCUCACUUUGCUGACACAUUGUCCUAGGAUUUCUAUUGAAGAACAGCAUCCCUGGGUUGCAAUAUUCUUCAACACACUUCCUCUGUGAGCUCUGCCUUCUACUUCCAAGUUCCUUGAGUGGAAAAUACCUGGUGUUGCAUGUCGUCUGUUGUAGCUGCACAGCCAAACUAGGAAGCACCAGCACCAAUGACCCAGGGACCAGGAAGGGUCCCUUUCUCUAAGGACCCAUAUGAAAGGUGGCAAUGAAUGAUCUGCAUUACCAAGGGGACCUGAAAGGAAAGAAAAAACAACUAUUCCAGUCUGAAAAGAUAGCCUACUCAUAGGCCUGCCACGUAGUGACCACCUCACGAUGAUGUUCUAAGCCCUUUCACCCAUGAGAGAAGAUGAAAUAUGGAGACUGGGAUUGUUGGGCAUCACGGAAUGCUGCUUUGAUGAUUUCAUCUGGAAAAGUUGAAGCUUACCUUAAACAUAAGCUUCAGAGCCUAGGACAGCACAGUAUACAAAAAGUGGUGGGCAUCUGCCUUUUAGUUCAACAACAAGGGAAACCAAAACCAAAAGCAAAUUAAAACAAACAAAUAACAUGGCUUAAUAUUUUGGAAAGCUAAAUUGAAAUUGGUACUGAUAAACUUACUGAUAAAUCACGUUAGAAGAUGGAGAUCGUCUCUAAGGUAGGCAUGCGGUGCACAGAUUGGGCUGUCCUUCCAGCUGCGCGAUGAUUCCAAUGCACUGUGAGGUGGAAUCUACCAGCUCAGUUUUGUUUCAGUGGUCAUUCAUGCCUGUUUGGGUCAAUUCAUAAACAUUGUACUGAAAUAUCAGCUUUAAACAUGCUUCAUAUGUGAUUGCUAGAGCUUAACGCUUUAUUUAACUGUACUUGUUUAGCUUGCUUGAAUUCACUUGCACAAACCUUCUUUUCUAUAAGAGAUAGAAAAAGAAAUGAGAGACUCCUGGUUAAAAGGAAUCAUUCUUGUAAUUAUUUCAUUCUCUCUUCAAUUUUUAAGUCUCUAACUUGGCUAUGAGUCCUACUUGUAUAAUUUCAGUCCUGUAAGAACAAAAUAAUAAGGAUAUCCAUGCAAUAUAAAAUGUGUGUGUGAGAGAGAGAGAGGGAGAGAGAGGCAAGAAAGGAGGAGGAUGAAAAUCUCUCUUUAAAUGAAUUAAAAAUAAAAUCUGUGUGAUAUUAUCAUGCUUAAUAAACUGUGGAAAUGGUAUUUUAGUCUCAGUAGGAGUUUAACUAUUUGCAUGUGUUUUCAGUUCCCUUAAGGCACUUCAAAAAAUAAAUAAACAAAGGAAGAUUAUGAGUUUCCUCUCUAGGAGAGAGCUCCAUCGCUUCCACAGUUUAGGAUGAAAGAACGCUGAAAGGUCUGUGGUUGGAAAGGGGCCAGAAACAGGUUCAGGUUUCAGGUUUCUUUUCAGGUCUGAGGCCUGGUGUAGGGAGGGCCCUUCUAUUCUGUGGCUUGUAUUCCUGCUUCUUUAUUGAUAUGAAACAUAUAGUAGAAAAGAAAGGUACUCAGUUUCCUCCUACGUCCUGAGAUAUUGGGAGCAUUGUUCAUCUUUGGGAGUGGCCACAUCAUUGUAAACUUGGUCAAAAAAAAAUUUCUUACUGAUUUCUAUUAUACAAGUAAAGAUUUUUGUUGAGGUUUGCGGGGGCCAGAAGAAUAGAGGAGUAAGAGUGAUCAGCAGGAGACAGGGAGUUUCCCAGUCGACAGAGUCUACUGAGCACUAGGAGUAACAUGGAUUAUGGCAGCCAGCCCCAGGGAGUGCUGGGAAUUGCUCCUAAUAGAAUUAGGCUGCGGAUUGAUAUUCAUCAGGGAGCAGUAGUCAUCUGACAUUUAGUUGUGCUCGGACCUCAAAAUGCCUCCAAUCUGGUGUUUUACUUUUUGUUUUGUUAAUCCAAUUAGUUAAAAAUUCUGAAUAUCAUUUUAUUUGUGCAUUUGCACAUAGAGCAAAGGGAGUCUGUAGUCAAACAUCAUUGAUUUGAUUUUAGUUCAUUCAAAAUAUUGCCUAAAUUAUCUAAGAGUUGUCUCAAGUCAACCAGCUAGAUUUUCCUUAUUUACGUUAAGUUGAUCUAAUGUAUGGAUGAUGGUGAAGUUGAAGGAAAAACUAUAUCCCUUGAAUACUUCUCACAUUUGCUUCAUAAUUAAAAGUGGCAAACCAGAUUUGUGAAUCAAUAUGGUGACUUCAUAAUAGAAAUAAGAAAAAUCUCGGAUUAGAAAUAAAGCUUUUUUCCCAGCCUCUCUUUAUUCUUCCCUCAAGUUUUAUUAAAAACUUUAAAAAUCAUUAUUAAAGGUUAAAAUAACUAUUAAAAAUGAGAAACAGUAUGUGCUAUGGCAUCUGUUCUUUUGUAUCAAAAUCACAGAACAAAUACUUCAAUUCAUGCUCUUUCAGAGAUAUUUAUUUACUUACCUGAAUUUACUUGGUACAAAAUAUUCCAAGCCUGCAAUUCUGCUGAUAAACUUAUAUGUUUGCCACUGUUGUUUCUCUUUAAACAGCUUUAUUGAGGUAUAACUGAUACGUAAAACUUGCUCAAGCUUAAAAUGUACAAUUUGAUAAGUUGAGACAAACAUAUACAUACCCCUCAAAACUAUCACAACAGUCAAGAUAAUGAAAUAUCCAUCACUUCAAAAAUAUCCUUGAGCCCCUUUGUAAUCUUUCCCUUCUGCCCAUCUUCUCUUCACCUGCUCAUCUCCAGGCAACUAUUGAUCUGCUUGCUGUUCCUACAGAUUUGUUUACGUUUCUAUUGGUUUAUAUGAAUGGAAUUACACGUUGUGUACUCAUCCUGUCCAUUUGUUUUAUUGAAGAGUAUUAAUAUAUUAUUCAGUUUACCCCAGUCCGUUAAUCCAGUCACUUCUUGUUGGACUUUUGAUUUGUGUUCAGAUUUUGUCAAUUAUAUCUAAAGCUGAUAUGAACAUUGUUCAACAAGUCUUUGCAUGGACAUAUGAUUUCAUUUCUCUUGUGUAAACACCUAGGAUUUUAAUGGUUGGAUCAUAUGUUAGGUGAAUGUUUAACUUUUUAAAGAAAAUAUUGAGCCGUUUUCCAAAGUGUUUGUACCAUUUUACAUUUAUAUCAGCAGUGUAUAAGAGUUCCAGUAACACCACAUCCUCUCCUACAUCUGGUAUGGUCAGUGUUUUAAAUUUUAGACACUCUAAGAGAUGUGUAGGAGUAUGUCAUUGUGGACUUAAAAAACAUUUCUCCAUUGACUACUGAGAUUAAGC